GAGCUUAACUCUGGAACUGCCAUCAAAACUUUUCAGCUAGAGUUUGAUAGAGGAAAGCAGAAUUUCUAGUGUAGAGGUGAAAUUCGUAGAUAUUAGAAAGAAUACCAAUUGCGAAGGCAGCUUUCUGGAUCAUUACUGACACUGAGGAACGAAAGCAUGGGUAGCGAAGAGGAUUAGAUACCCUCGUAGUCCAUGCCGUAAACGAUGUGUGUUAGACGUUGGAAAUUUAUUUUCAGUGUCGCAGCGAAAGCGAUAAACACACCGCCUGGGGAGUACGACCGCAAGGUUAAAACUCAAAUGAAUUGACGGGGACCCGCACAAGUAGUGGAGCAUGUGGUUUAAUUCGAAGAUACGCGCAGAACCUUACCAACACUUGACAUGUUCGUCGCGACUUUAAGAGAUUAAAGUUUUCGGUUCGGCCGGACGAAACACAGGUGCUGCAUGGCUGUCGUCAGCUCGUGUCGUGAGAUGUUGGGUUAAGUCCCGCAACGAGCGCAACCCUCACUUUUAGUUGCCAUCAUUUAGUUGGGCACUCUGAAAGAACUGCCAGUGAUAAGCUGGAGGAAGGUGGGGAUGACGUCAAGUCCUCAUGGCCCUUACGUGUUGGGCUACACACGUGCUACAAUGGUAUCUACAACAGGAAGCAAAACGGCGACGUUAAGCAAAUCCUUAAAAGAUACCUCAGUUCGGAUUGCACUCUGCAACUCGAGUGCAUGAAGCUGGAAUUACUAGUAAUCGUGGAUCAGCGUGCCACGGUGAAUGCGUUCCCGGGUCUUGUACACACCGCCCGUCACACCAUGGGAGUUGGUUCUACCUUAAGGCAAGGUUUAAAAUCCUUGACCACGGUAUAGUCAGCGACUGGGGUGAAGUCGUAACAAGGUAGCCG
rnacentral:rRNA from 1 species